UUUGUGGAACAGCAACCACAUACAUUAAGAAAUUAAAUGGUCUCUACUAUCUGAGACUCAACAACUUGGUUAAGGCAUCAGGCACGCAAUUCUUAAAUCCUGGUUAGUCAAUGUUUUUGGGGUUAAUAUUUAAUUAGUCAUGAAUUAGCUGUAAUCAAAUCAGUUUAUAUAUAUAAUGAAAAUGAAUGUGGACACAUUGCUUGACUUUUUCUUUCGUGUUUGGUUUGUUACAGCGAAUAUAACUUUCAUUAUAAUUUAUGUAUUCAUCAUAUUCAAGAAUUUUAAACUGUUUUACAGCAAGCAAGUCCAAGUAAAUUGCCGUAUGAGUGGAACAAAAACAAAAUAAUUUGACUAAUACAGCGUCAUUUUUUGUCUUGUAUAUAUUUUAAGGGAAAUUAGGGCACAUGCACAUAACAAAAAAAGAAAUAAAAUGUAUGUUCAUAACAACAAUUAGGCUAGAGUAUUUUAUGUAUUUUAUGUAAUAUUACUUGUUUUACUUUUUGAACAAUCUCAACCAUUGAUUUUUAUUUUUCUUUUGUUCUUUUUCAUUUUCUUUUUUUCUUUGUCUUUUUUAUUCUUUCUCUCCUCCAAAUUUUAUUAAUGUAUAUCUUUUGAAUCAAAUAUAAUUCAACCAAAUUAUUAUGUUACUAAAGAUAUACAUAUUUUUUUACAUAUGGCAUAACUUAAAAUUUUUUAAACAGAUUUUUAAACAAUAUCGGACAAAAAUUAUACUAUACUAUUUAUUAAAAUAAAAUAGUACAUUUAAUUAAACAUAUUUAAAACAAUGUGUUACUAAUACUUAUAGUAGUAUAUUAUUCUAUUUACGUAAAUAGUAUAAUUUUUUUAGAGCUCUCUCAUCUUCUUCUACCUCCUUCCUUCUUCGGUUCUCCUUUCACCUCCUCCCUCCUCUUCUUCUUCCUCCCUCCUUCUCUUCUUUUUCCUCUCUCCUACCCUUGCUCUUACUUCUCAUCCCUCCUCCCUCCACUUCCUCCUCCUCUUCCUCUCCUUUUUUUCUCUUGUUGCUUCUCCUCUUCAAAUGCAUGCUACUUUUAUAUAUUUUUCUGUAUCUUUCUAUACUAUUUAUUUAAUAUACAUAGUAUAGUAUAAUAUGUUUAUUAUGUUAGAUAUACGUGACACAUGCUCGUAAGAAGAAUAAAAUAAAAAAUAUACCAAAUUAUCUCAUCAAAUAGUGAUUACUAUAGUAUGGUUAUAUUCUUUAUUUUACGUUCUCUUAUGUAUAUACACCAAAUUCUCUCAUAUUUAAAUCAUACUUGUGUUUAAAACAGUGUAUUAAAUAAACUAAUAUAUUUUGAUUUACGUGUGCCAUAAGUUCAACUACGUUGGUAGUGGAAAGCAACAAUAUAUUAAUUGUUAGAAACUAGAAAAGUAGAAAUUGCUUUUUAGAUUUUUUUUUUCUUUUCGAAUUGAGAAAUGUUUACUUUUUCUUUUUGGAAAUUUGUUCAAAUACCGAGAGUUUUUUUGUCUCUUGCAUGAAAAAAAAUACUUUUAUGGUUUUUUUCUUGACAGAAAUAAUUUUGUUGAAUGAAAUUGUAUUAGCUGAUCAAGUUAAUUAACUAUUUUUCCAAAUAACAAGUUAAUUAACUUCUAAGACACAGUAAUCCGAAAGAUGAAAAAAGGAGACAAAAUUGUUAUAUAGUAUAUUUUUUUAUCAAAGGAG
rnacentral:lncRNA from 1 species